UUGACCUCGGAUCAGGCAGGGNUACCCGCUGAACUUAA
rnacentral:rRNA from 1 species